rnacentral:ncRNA from 1 species
UUAACGAUAUCGAGCGGAAGAGUAGAAGAUGUUUACCUGAAAAAGAGACUAUCCGGGAGCUGAAAAGGAUAGAGGUGGCAUUUUUGAACCACAUCCGUGAAUUGGUACACUGAACCUAAAGUAGUAGGUGUAUCCGGUCAGAAGUCCGUUACACUUGAGUUAAGUUAACUCACUGAGACUCCUUUUGUGAGAAAGGAGUAAAUAUGAGGUGGAACCGCGUAAAACGCCCUCUUG